rnacentral:rRNA from 1 species
GAUCCUGGCUCAGGAUGAACGCUGGCGGCGUGCUUAACACAUGCAAGUCGAACGAAGCACUUCGAUUUCUUCGGGAUGAGGAGUGACUUAGUGGCGGACGGGUGAGUAACGCGUGGGUAAACCUGCCUCAUGCAGGGGAUAACAGUUAGAAAUGACUGCUAAUACCGCAUAAGCGCACAGUACCGCAUGGUACAGUGUGAAAAGAUUUAUCAGCAUGAGAUGGACCCGCGUCUGAUUAGCUAGUUGGUGAGGUAAACGGCUCACCAAGGCGACGAUCAGUAGCCGACUUGAGAGAGUGAUCGGCCACAUUGGGACUGAGAUACGGCCCAGACUCCUACGGGAGGCAGCAGUGGGGAAUAUUGGGCAAUGGGGGAAACCCUGACCCAGCAACGCCGCGUGAAGGAAGAAGGCCUUCGGGUUGUAAACUUCUUUUAGUAGGGACGAAUACAUGACGGUACCUGCAGAAAAAGCAACGGCUAACUACGUG